UACGUAGGGGGCAAGCGUUAUCCGGAUUUACUGGGUGUAAAGGGAGCGUAGACGGCGACGCAAGUCUGAAGUGAAAUGCCGGUGCUCAACACUGGAACUGCUUUGGAAACUGUGUAGCUAGAGUGCAGGAGAGGUAAGUGGAAUUCCUAGUGUAGCGGUGAAAUGCGUAGAUAUUAGGAGGAACACCAGUGGCGAAGGCGGCUUACUGGACUGUAACUGACGUUGAGGCUCGAAGGCGUGGGGAGCAAACA
rnacentral:rRNA from 1 species